AAGUAGAACGCUGAAGGAGGAGCUUGCUUCUCUGGAUGAGUUGCGAACGGGUGAGUAACGCGUAGGUAACCUGCCUGGUAGCGGGGGAUAACUAUUGGAAACGAUAGCUAAUACCGCAUAAGAGCAGUUGUUGCAUGACAGCUGUUUAAAAGGUGCAAUUGCACCACUACCAGAUGGACCUGCGUUGUAUUAGCUAGUUGGUGAGGUAACGGCUCACCAAGGCGACGAUACAUAGCCGACCUGAGAGGGUGAUCGGCCACACUGGGACUGAGACACGGCCCAGACUCCUACGGGAGGCAGCAGUAGGGAAUCUUCGGCAAUGGGGGCAACCCUGACCGAGCAACGCCGCGUGAGUGAAGAAGGUUUUCGGAUCGUAAAGCUCUGUUGUAAGAGAAGAACGAGUGUGAGAGUGGAAAGUUCACGCUGUGACGGUAUCUUACCAGAAAGGGACGGCUAACUACGUGCCAGCAGCCGCGGUAAUACGUAGGUCCCGAGCGUUAUUCGGAUUUAUUGGGCGUAAAGCGAGCGCAGGCGGUUAGAUAAGUCUGAAGUUAAAGGCUGUGGCUUAACCAUAGUACGCUUUGGAAACUGUUUAACUUGAGUGCAAGAGGGGAGAGUGGAAUUCCAUGUGUAGCGGUGAAAUGCGUAGAUAUAUGGAGGAACACCGGUGGCGAAAGCG
rnacentral:rRNA from 1 species